rnacentral:ncRNA from 1 species
CCUUGGGGAGCUUGCGGGAUCGGCAGGCUGAGAGGGCAGUAGCCACUGCUUACCCACAAAACCUGAUCUGGGUAAUGCCAGCGCGAGGGAGUGGAAAU